rnacentral:tRNA from 1 species
GCCGGGAUGGUGGAAUUGGCAGACACAUACGUUUGAGGGGCGUAUGCCGAAAAGGCGUGAGGGUUCAAAUCCCUCUCCCGGCACCA